GGAAUUGUUCGCAAUGGGCGCAAGCCUGACGACGCAACGCCGCGUGGAGGAUGAAGAUCUUCGGGUCGUAAACUCCUUUCGAUCGAGACGAACGGCUUCCGGGUGAACAAUCCGGGAGAGUGACGGUACCGAGAGAAGAAGCCCCGGCUACCUCCGGCCCAGCAGCCGCGGUAAUACGGGGGGGGCAAGCGUUGUUCGGAAUUACUGGGCGUAAAGGGCUCGUAGGUGGCCAACUAAGUCAGACGUGAAAUCCCUCGGCAUAACCGGGGAACUGCGUCUGAUACUGGAUGGCUUGAGUUUGGGAGAGGGACGCGGAAUUCCAGGUGUAGCGGUGAAAUGCGUAGAUAUCUGGAGGAACACCGGUGGCGAAGGCGGCGUCCUGGACCAACACUGACACUGAGGAGCGAAAGCCAGGGGAGCAA
rnacentral:rRNA from 1 species